GUCCGGGUGGUGGAAUUGGUAGACACGCUACUUUGAGGGGGUAGUGCCCGUUGGGGCGUGUGAGUUCGAAUCUCAUCUCGGACA
rnacentral:tRNA from 1 species